rnacentral:rRNA from 1 species
GACGAACGCUGGAGGCGUGCUUAACACAUGCAAGUCGAACGAUGAAAUGGAGCUUGCUCCAUGGAUUAGUGGCGAACGGGUGAGUAACACGUGAAUAACCUGCCCUUAAUUUUGGAAUAACCCAGGGAAACCUGGGCUAAUACCGGAUAAGUAAACCUGUGGCAUCACAUGGUUUUGGAAAGUUUUUCGAUUAAGGAUGGAUUCGCGGCCUAUCAGCUUGUUGGUGAGGUAAUGGCUCACCAAGGCGACGACGGGUAGCCGGCCUGAGAGGGUGAACGGCCACGCUGGGACUGAGACACGACCCAGGCUGCUACGGGAGGCAGCAGUGCGGAAUAUUGCGCAAUGGACGGAAGUCUGACGCAGCGACGCCUCGUGAGGGACGAAGGUCUUCGGAUUGUAAACCUCUUUCAGCGGGGACGAAGCGAAAGUGACGGUACCUGCAGAAGAAGCACCGGCUAACUAUGUGCCAGCCGCCGCCGUAAUAC